rnacentral:rRNA from 1 species
CCUACGGGUGGCAGCAGUGGGGAAUAUUGCACAAUGGUCGAAAGUCUGAAGCAGCGACGCCGCGUGAAUGAAGAAGUCCUUCGGGACGUAAAGCUCUUUCAACAGGGAAGAAAAUGACGGUACGUAACUAGGUAUGCACGGCUAAUAACGUUAUAGCCAGCCCGGUACAACGUAGGGGGCAGGCGUGAUCCGGAUUUACUGGGUGUAAAGCGAGUGUAGACGGCAGCGUAAGUCUGUAGUGAAAUCCGAGGGCUGAACCAUGGAACUGGUGUGGAUACUGUGCAGCUGGAGUGCAGGAGAGGUAUGCAGAAUUCCUGGUGUAGCGGUGAAAUGCGUAGAUAUUAGGAGGAACACC